UACGUAGGGAGCUAGCGUUGUCCGGAAUCAUUGGGCGUAAAGGGCUCGUAGGCGGCCAACUAAGUCGGACGUGAAAUCCCCAGGCUCAACCUGGGAACUGCGUCCGAUACUGGAUGGCUUGAAUCCGGGAGAGGGAUGCAGAAUUCCAGGUGUAGCGGUGAAAUGCGUAGAUAUCUGGAGGAAUACCGGUGGCGAAGGCGGCAUCCUGGACCGGCAUUGACGCUGAGGAGCGAAAGCCAGGGGAGCAAACGGG
rnacentral:rRNA from 1 species